GUGCUCACUCGGGCAGCACAAACACUAACACUGGAACGACACAGAGAGGAUUAGCAUGGCCCCUGGGCAAGGAUGAGACGCAAGUUCGUGAAGCAUUCCCUAUUUUU
ensembl:snRNA U6 U6 spliceosomal RNA